rnacentral:rRNA from 1 species
GACGAACGCUGGCGGCGUGCUUAACACAUGCAAGUCGAACGGAAAGGCCCUGCUUUUGUGGGGUGCUCGAGUGGCGAACGGGUGAGUAACACGUGAGUAACCUGCCCUUGACUUUGGGAUAACUUCAGGAAACUGGGGCUAAUACCGGAUAGGAGCUCCUGCUGCAUGGUGGGGGUUGGAAAGUUUCGGCGGUUGGGGAUGGACUCGCGGCUUAUCAGCUUGUUGGUGGGGUAGUGGCUUACCAAGGCUUUGACGGGUAGCCGGCCUGAGAGGGUGACCGGCCACAUUGGGACUGAGAUACGGCCCAGACGCCUACGGGAGGCAGCAGUGGGGAAUAUUGCACAAUGGGCGGAAGCCUGAUGCAGCAACGCCGCGUGCGGGAUGACGGCCUUCGGGGUGUAAACCGCUUUCGCCUGUGACGAAGCGUGAGUGACGGUAAUGGGUAAAGAAGCACCGGCUAACUACG